rnacentral:rRNA from 1 species
UACGUAGGGUGCAAGCGUUGUCCGGAAUUAUUGGGCGUAAAGAGCUCGUAGGCGGUCUGUCGCGUCGAAUGUGAAAACCCGGGGCUCAACCCCGGGCCUGCAUUCGAUACGGGCAGACUAGAGUUCGGUAGGGGAGUCUGGAAUUCCUGGUGUAGCGGUGAAAUGCGCAGAUAUCAGGAGGAACACCGGUGGCGAAGGCGGGACUCUGGGCCGAUACUGACGCUGAGGAGCGAAAGCAUGGGGAGCGAAUGGG